rnacentral:rRNA from 1 species
AGUGAACGCUGGCGGUAGGCCUAACACAUGCAAGUCGAACGGCAGCACAGUAAGAGCUUGCUCUUACGGGUGGCGAGUGGCGGACGGGUGAGGAAUACAUCGGAAUCUACUUUUUCGUGGGGGAUAACGCAGGGAAACUUACGCUAAUACCGCAUACGACCUACGGGUGAAAGCAGGGGAUCUUCGGACCUUGCGCGAUUGAAUGAGCCGAUGUCGGAUUAGCUAGUUGGCGGGGUAAAGGCCCACCAAGGCGACGAUCCGUAGCUGGUCUGAGAGGAUGAUUCGCCACACUGGAAGUGAGACACGGUCCAGACUCCUACGGGAGGCAGCAGUGGGGAAUAUUGGACAAUGGACGCAAGCCUGAUCCAGCCAUACCGCGUGGGUGAAGAAGGCCUUCGGGUUGUAAAGCCCUGUUGUUGGGAAAGAAGAGCAGCAGGUUUAUACCCCGCUGUUCUGACGGUACCCAAAGAAUAAGCACCGGCUAACUUCGUG